rnacentral:rRNA from 1 species
CAGUCGCCGCGGUAAUACGAGGGGGGCAAGCGUUGUUCGGAUUUAUUGGGCGUAAAGGGUGCGUAGGCGGUUUGGCAAGUUUGGUGUGAAAUCUUCGGGCUCAACUCGAAGUCUGCAUCAAAAACUGCCGGGCUUGAGUAUGGGAGAGGUGGGUGGAAUUUCCGGUGUAGCGGUGAAAUGCGUAGAUAUCGGAAGGAACACCUGUGGCGAAAGCGGCUCACUGGACCAUAACUGACGCUGAGGCACGAAAGCUAGGGGAGCAAACAGGAUUAGAUACCCCCGUAGUCCCUGUCUCUUAUAC